AAAAAAUUGCUUUAAAUAUGUUUAAACAUAUUCUGAAUAAAGAGAUGUCCAUAAACAGUUCCUCAAGAUGGGAUGGAAGAUUGCCCUCUUCCAAGUGGGUACAGUAAACCUGGAGCUGGAUUUUGGCCCAGCAGAAGGAUAGGGAACCCAUGAGAGGUACUAAGGAUGGGAAGGUAGGAGGAUCCAGACAGGGUGAAUGAGAACAAGCCUGGUAUGGAGGUGAUGGCAGGGUGAAGAGUUCUGGGUGCUGGGUCAAGAGACCAAGACUAAGGCUGGAAAGAGACAGGGACUAGAGGGGGGUUGGCCUUGCACCCAGUUGUUAUCUGCUAUCUCUGAGGAGGCCACACCACCUUUCCCUACUGUUCAGCUCCAUAGACAGCGUCACUGAGGAGAGAAUGAGCAUGCCUGUGUAUUUCUGUGGGAAGGGUAGUGACAACCCCUAAGGAGACCCAGAAGGGAAGAAGAGUGGUCCUGAGGUCAAGUUCAUGUGCAGCUGUGGCCAGAGGAACCAAAUCCUUUUCAGGACUCAGGGAAGGACUGUGACCAAAUGCUCUCCACUUAUUUGCAUCUUGUAAGAAUUGUGCAAUACCUAAAGUUCAAAGGCAGCUUGUGGGUUAAUAGGUUGUGCCCCUGUUAAUAUCCAUUGUAAUUAUUCACUAAAUCUAUUUUUUUCUCCCUUCCCUUCUAUUUUAUAGAAGCAUCUUCUGAUUUUCCUUCUGAUCCUUACCCUUUUAAGGAACUUGUGUGAUGCUCAAUGUUCUGUAAAACCAGUCAGUAGAAAGGGUUGCUUUCAGAAUGGAAAGUGGUACCGUGUUCCUGCUGUUUGGAAAACAAACAACUGCCAAAGAUGUGAAUGUAAACCAAAAGAACUGAUAUGCUGCAGCCUUUCCUCAUAGCCUCCAAGCUGUGGGUCAAGAUUUCCACUGCAUCUCCUGUUCAUUCUGGGGAAAGAGAAAUAAAACUGCGUAUCAUCAGCAUACUGAUAAUACCUGUCAGCCCCUACACUUGUUGAAGUGACAGUGGAAUCAGUUAGCAAGAGAGAGUUUUCAGACCUAUCAACUAUGAUAAGAAGAAAUGCAUUGCCAUAUUUCACCGCCAAAGUUGCUCCAUCCGUGUGGUGAAGAAAAAUGAUCCCACAGAAAGCUGCCAAGUCUUUGCUGGGGUUGGUUAACAGCCUGUGUAGUCCAAGCUUUUUUUUUUUUUUGAAAUCUGGUUUCCUUUCUCCCUUUCCUAAUUUUGAUCUCACAUAUUCCACCUCUGUUACUAAACAAAAUUUAUUGACCAAAAAUUAUUUACAAAAUAAAUGUUGUAGUCAUGAAGAUGACCAUUCUCAAGACUAAAGAUCAGUACUUCCAAUCACAUAAGACAAGUCUGUUAAGAAGUGGUUGGAAAGUAUUUGCCACCAAAACAAUACAUAUUUAAUGGAUUCUUUCUACAGGAACUACAUUGUUUCAACUAUAUCAUUAUUAUGAAUUUUGCCUUCAUAAAGCUGUUAGAACAGGCCCAGUAAUUAAGAUCUAUAUUACGAAAUAUAUAUUUUGGAAAAAUGAGACCUUGACCUAACUUUAAGUGCUUAUAAGAGUCACUAAGCAGAAUCUUUUUAACUAUUAAAGUUGAUCCUGCUAGAUCUGCCUGUUCUUCUUCAGCAUUGCAAAUAAUAAUAAAUACCAAAUAAUUUGGAUAUAUCUAUUGCACAGUUUCUUCUCUUUUCUGUGUUAGUCAUACUGUACCUAGAAUAUUGCAUUAGGAAGGACAUUGACAAAUUGGAGCAUGUUCAGAGGGGAGCAACCAAGAUAAUGAGGGGCCUGAAACAAACAAUCAAACAAAGUUGGGAAUAGUUGGAGGCAUUGUGUAUGGUUAGCUUGAAGAAGAGAAAGAGUGGAGGGAGAAGUGAGAAUUGUUUCCAAGUAUCCAA